ensembl:snRNA U6 U6 spliceosomal RNA
GUACUCACUUUGGCAGCACAUAUACUAAAAUUGGAGUGAUACAGAGAGCAUAAGCAUGGCCCCUGUGCAAGGAUGACACACAAACUUGUGAAGUGUUCCAUAAUUUU